rnacentral:misc_RNA from 1 species
UGGAAGUAAAAGUCGUAACAAGGUUUCCGUAGGUGAACCUGCGGAAGGAUCAUUACUGUGAUUUAAACUUCUUUCUUACACCGCGUGAGCGCACAACAACACCUAAACACGAAUAACCAUGUCACCCAGAGAAAAUCUCAAACGAGAAGAAAGAAAAAAAAUAAAACUUUCAACAACGGAUCUCUUGGUUCUCGCAUCGAUGAAGAGCGCAGCGAAAUGCGAUACCUAGUGUGAAUUGCAGCCAUCGUGAAUCAUCGAGUUCUUGAACGCACAUUGCGCCCUCCGGCAUUCCGGGGGGCAUGCCUGUUUGAGCGUCGUUUCCUUCUUGCGCAAGCAGAGUUGGGGUUGCCACGGCCCGUGCGGCCUGUGUGUGGCUCCCCCGAAACGGAACGGCAGCGGGACUGAGCGAAGUACACAACACUCGCGCUUGGCCCGCCGAACUUUUUUUUUAAAUCUAAGCUCGACCUCAAAUCAGGUAGGAAUACCCGCUGAACUUAAGCAUAUCAAUAAGCGGAGGAAAAGAAACCAACAGGGAUUGCCUCAGUAGCGGCGAGUGAAGCGGCAAGAGCUCAGAUUUGAAAUCGCAGCGGCAACGCGGCGAGUUGUAGAUUGCAGGUGGGAGAGUUUGCGGGCGGCGGGCGUCGAAGUCCCUUG